AUAAACCCUAAGCGUUUAUUGAAAGCUUCGGUUGUCAAAAAUUUUGACAACCAUUGUCAAAAAUAUUAAUGUUGGUUGUACAUCGCUUAUUAGGGGUGUUCAAAAAAACCCGACCCGAUUGUCCGUCCCGAUUACCCGAUAACCCGUAAAAAACCCAAUGGGAAAUUUACGAAUUUUCUAUUUUUUUCGGGUCGGGUACUCAUUCCGCUAAGCAGUUUCGUAGGCCGGGACAUGGAACAAGCUUUGCUAUUCUCGGGUACCUGGAUACCCGUUUAAAAAAAAAUAAAAAAAAAUUAAAGAAGUUAAUCAGCAAGCCCACUUACUAAGUAAGUGUACGGUAUACCCAAUUACCCAGUAAGUAGGCCAAUACCCACUACCCACCCUAUCUCCUUCUCUUUCUUUUUAUAUCCUCAUCCUCCUCUUUCUCUCUCCUCUUCCCCACUGUUACUCUCUUUCUCUCUCCUCGUGAUAAUGAAAACCACCGAGCAACCCACUUUUUAUAGUUUGUACAUGGUGCAUAGUUUGUCGUUUAAGUGCUCCACUUUUAGAACAACCCAGAAUGUACAUGGUGCAUAGUUUGUCGUUUAAGGGAGACCCACAGCAACCCACCACCGAGCAACCCAGAACAACCACGUCCCACCUCACUCCAACGUUUUUCAGAUCUAAAUUUAAUUUAAAAUGUGCAUUUUGGCAGGUGUGGCUGGGCUGCCUUGGUGCGUGGUGGAAUCGGCGGCUGGUGGCUGCCUAGAAUUUGGACAUUAGCAAAGCGUUUCAUGUAUAUUUAUUUACUUAUUUUUACUUUGCAAUUUAUUUAAGUUGAAGCAGUUGGAUUUGGUUUGGUUGCAAUUGCAUGUGAUGAAAUUGGACUUUGAAAUAACAUUUUAUCUGCUAGAA